rnacentral:rRNA from 1 species
GUGGGGAAUAUCGGACAAUGGGCGAAAGCCUGAUCCAGCCAUGCCGCGUGUGUGAAGAAGGUCUUCGGAUUGUAAAGCACUUUAAGUUGGGAGGAAGGGCAGUAAGUUAAUACCUUGCUGUUUUGACGUUACCGACAGAAUAAGCACCGGCUAACUUCGUGCCAGCAGCCGCGGUAAUACGAAGGGUGCAAGCGUUAAUCGGAAUUACUGGGCGUAAAGCGCGCGAAGGUGGUUUUGUAAGUUGGAGGUGAAAUCCCCGGGCUCAACCGGGGAACUGCAUUCAAAACUGCAUGACUAGAGUACAGUAGAGGGUAGUGGAAUUUCCUGUGUAGCGGUGAAAUGCGUAGAUAUAGGAAGGAACACCAGUGGCGAAGGCGACUACCUGGACUGAUACUGACACUGAGGUGCGAAAGCGUGGGGAGCAAACAGGAUUAGAUACCCUAGUAGUCC